GGCAGUGUAAAAUAUGUGAAAACAGUAUUUCCCUCAAUGCCUAUAAAGUUGCAGCUCUCAAAAGACGAUAUAGCUACCAUCGAAACGUCAGAACAAACAGCUGAAGCUAUGCAUUAUGAUAUUAGUAAAGAUCCAAAUGCAGAGAAGCUUGUUUCCAGAUAUCACCCUCAGAUAGCUCUAACUAGUCAAUCAUUAUUUACCUUAUUAAAUAAUCACGGACCAACGUACAAGGAACAGUGGGAAAUUCCAGUGUGUAUUCAAGUAAUACCUGUUGCAGGUUUGUGAUUUGCUAUGUCAAAUAAUGCUCUCAAAAAAGAGAGGUUGGACCGCAUGUUCUCACUCAUAAAUAGGAGUUGAACAAUGAGAACACAUGGACCCAGAGAGUGAAACAACACACACCGGGGCCUGUCGGGGGGUGAGGGGCAAGGCGAGAGAGCAUUAGGACAAAUACCUAAUUCGUGCAGGGCUUAAAACCUAGAUGACAGGUUGAUAGGUGCAGCAAACCACCAUGGCACAUGUAUAGCUAUGUAACAAACCUGCACGUUCUCUACAUGUAUCCCCGAACUUAAAGUAAAAUUUUGAGAAAAGAA
rnacentral:sRNA from 1 species